UACAGAGGGUGCGAGCGUUGUUCGGAAUUACUGGGCGUAAAGCGCACGUAGGCGGCUUUGUAAGUUAGAGGUGAAAGCCCGGGGCUCAACUCCGGAAUUGCCUUUAAGACUGCAUCGCUAGAAUUGUGGAGAGGUAAGUGGAAUUCCAGGUGUAGCGGUGAAAUGCGUAGAUAUCUGGAGGAACACCGGUGGCGAAGGCGGCAUCCUGGACCGGUAUUGACGCUGAUGAGCGAAAGCCAGGGGAGCAAACGGG
rnacentral:rRNA from 1 species